rnacentral:rRNA from 1 species
ACUAAGUGGGUGGUAAACUCCAUCUAAAACUAAAUAUAACCAUGAGACCGAUAGUAAACAAGUACCGUGAGGGAAAGUUGAAAAGAACUCUGAAUAGAGAGUUAAACAGUACGUGAAACUGCUUAGAGGUUAAGCCCGAUGAACCUGAAUAUCCGUUAUGGAAAAUUCAUCAUUAAAAUUGUAAUAUUUAAACAAUAUUAUGAUAAUAGUGUGCAUUUUUUCCAUAUAAGGACAUUGUAAUCUAUUAGCAUACAAAAUUUAUCAUAAAAUAUAACUUAUAGUUUAUUCAAAUUAAUUUGCUUGCAUUUUAACACAGAAUAAAUGUUAUUAAUUUGAUAAAGUGCUGAUAGAUUUAUAUGAAUACAGUGCGUUAAUUUUUCGGAAUUAUAUAAUGGCAUAAUUAUCAUUGAUUUUUGUGUUUAUUAUAUGCACUUGUAUGAUUAACAAUGCGAAAGAUUCAGGAUACCUUCGGGACCCGUCUU